GGCCUGUGGGAGUACCAUUGAUCCCGCCCUCAUCUGAGGUGACGGGAAAGGGCCGGGAAAUUUCCACUUCUGAAUAAAAUGACUGCUGAAGUGAUGACCCGCAAGAAUUGGUCAAAUUUGGAGUAGACUUCACCCUGCGCUUGGUGAAACUUCUACGUCAAGGAUGCAAGAGGCGCCGAAGUAACGCAGCUCCCACCUGUCGCUCUCCGCUGGGCGCCGAGACUAUGGCCGGAGAAUAGCUGCACCGGGAUUGGAGAAAGGAAGCCAUCAGUCUUAGGAAGGCUCCACCUUCCUGCCAUUGCCUGGUUGGAGGAGCGUAGCGUCAGUCACUAGAGCAGUCACCACCUCUGGGACAGGUGAUUUUAAUGGGCUCACCUGAAUGCUGCUGAGCGCUGCCACCCCCAUAUACAGGAAGAUGCCAUAGAGCACAGGCAUUGGAAUGAACUGGUAGAAAGAAGCAGAGAGUUAUCAAAGUUUACCUCUGCCAACCUCCCAGAUGCCCCAGGAUGCCCAGAUGCCCUAGAUCCCUCUAGCAUCUAGCAUCCAGGUCUGCCCAGGCCUUGCCUUUCCU
rnacentral:lncRNA from 1 species